CUUCGGGUUCUUAGAUUACUAUCUAACGGGUCCAAGUCCUUGAACAUUGAACGUAUAAGAUCCGGUACAAUUGAAGAGGUCCUCAAUCGACGGGCUGACUCGUAUCAUAUGGUAAUCAGAGCAAAGGUGAACAAAGUAAGAAAUUCAUCUUGAAAAAAAAGAAUUCCGAAAAUUAAAAAACAAAACAAAAAAAAUUCC